UACGAAGGGUGCAAGCGUUGCUCGGAAUGACUGGGCGUAAAGGGCGCGUAGGCGGUUCGUACAGUCAGACGUGAAAUUCCCGGGCUCAACCUGGGGGCUGCGUUUGAUACGUGCGGGCUUGAGUUCGGAAGAGGGUCGUGGAAUUCCCAGUGUAGAGGUGAAAUUCGUAGAUAUUGGGAAGAACACCGGUGGCGAAGGCGGCGACCUGGUCCGAUACUGACGCUGAGGCGCGAAAGCGUGGGGAGCAAACAGG
rnacentral:rRNA from 1 species